GAGUGUGUGUGUGUGUGUGUGUGUGUGUGUGUGUGUGUGUGUGUGUAGGGGGACAGUUCCUGCCACACCCACACCACACCCACA
rnacentral:miRNA from 1 species